CCAAACAGGAUGUCGACUUGUAAGAGACAAUUUUAACAUUCAUAUCCAUGUUUCAGCUUGAUCAUAAAAGUGAAACAGGAUCAAACUCUUGUAUAAAACUCGUGGCUUCUGUUUGGGAAAACUGAACAUUUCCAGUGGCACUACAGCAGAUCAGAAACAUGAAGUACGUGGCCUGUGUAUUCAUGCAAUUACUGAUUUUUACCACAGUUAACGCCCAGUUGAACGGCUGUGUCUGCUUACAAUACUGGGACCCUGUAUGCGGAUGGAAUGGUCGAACGUACACAAACUCGGGCUGUGCCGUAUGCGCCGGGGUUUCUGUACGAUGUCAGGGGGAGUGCCCCUGUUCCAGCGGCGGAACAUAUGUUUAGCACGGUGCAGGGGGGUAGCUGUGUUCCGGCCAGGAAGUUGUUACGGCAUAAAUCGCCAUUACUAGGUGAACCCACGUUUCCUCUGGUCGGGUGUUUUCAAUAAAGCAUUCAUUACA